rnacentral:rRNA from 1 species
AUCUGGUUCAGGAUGAACGCUAGCGGCAGGCUUAACACAUGCAAGUCGAGGGGCAUCGGGAGUAGCAAUACUGCCGGCGACCGGCGCAAGGGUGCGUAACGCGUGAGCAACAUGCCCGUAUCAGGGGGGAUAAUCCAUGGAAACGUGGUCUAAUACCCCAUGGUAAUUAUGUAAGGCAUCUUAUAUAAUUUAAAGCUUUGGUGGAUACGGAUUGGCUCGCGUGACAUUAGCUGGAUGGUAAGGUAACGGCUUACCAUGGCUACGAUGUCUAGGGGUUCUGAGAGGAAGGUCCCCCCACACUGGAACUGAGACACGGUCCAGACUCCUACGGGAGGCAGCAGUGAGGAAUAUUGGACAAUGGAUGGAAAUCUGAUCCAGCCAUGCCGCGUGCAGGGAAAGACGGCCCUAUGGGUUGUAAACUGCUUUUGUAUGGGAGCAAUAAGGGCUACGUGUAGUCCGAUGAGAGUACCAUACGAAUAAGCACCGGCUAACUCCGUGCCAGCAGCUGC